GCCCUCAGAAUUAUUUUAGUCAGAUGGAGCUAGAAUGUGAAGAAAAUAUUCCUGGAUUUGAACACAGAGCUGCUAUCCAGCAGCAAAUGUUUGAGUAUAUCUUUCAAGCCCCUGGCCUAGAAGUGUGCCAUAGAAUCAGAGAAUAAAAGAGUUGCAAGAGAUCACAAGGGCCAUCCAAUCCAACCCUCUGCCAUUCAGGAACUCAUAAUCAAAGUAACAAAUCGUGUCUCUUUAUAUUGUAAACCUGAGGGCAGGGAAAUGUCUAAAUAAUUUUG